rnacentral:lncRNA from 1 species
CCCUACCCCUGGUAACCAUAGAACUGUUUUCUUCAUCCAUGCGUUUGUUUAUAUUCCACAUAUAAGUGAAAUCAUAAGGUGUUUGUCUUUCUCCAUCUGGUUUAUUUCACUUAGUGUAAUACCCUCCAGAUCCAUCCAUGUUGUUACAAAUGGGAUGAUUUUGUCUUUUUUAAUGGCUGAUACAGAUGGCUAACAUACACAUGAAAAGAUGCCCAACAUCACUAAUUAUUAGGGAAAUGCAAAUCAAAAGUACAAUGAGAUAGCACCUUACACCAGUCAGAAUGGCUAUAGUUACCAAGACAAAAACAACAAAUGUUGUAGCAGAAUGUGGAGAAAAGGGAACACUCAUACACUGCUGGUAGGGGUGCAAACUGGUGCAUGUCCAAACUAGUGUCCACAGGGAGUAACGUGAGGGAAAUGUGCCUAAUGAGCAGACACAGGGAGCCGUAAAUAUCUCCUCUGUUGUAGUACCUCAGCAUGUGCAAAUUUGGGCUGGACAAGGCAUUGUUGCUAUUUUUGGAGUCUUAUGUUUGGCUAGGAGACUAAUGCUAAGCACCUUCCUGUGCCUUCUGUGAGUGGAGAGUUUCAGUCCCCAUCAUUAAGCAUCAGGAGGAAGUUGACUUCCACAGGGAGAUCUUCCUCUCAGAAUUCACAGCUAAGUGAGUGUGAGAGCCAAGUAGAUGUUGCUGGAAAGUGUCAGAGAGAAUCAAAGUUGAGUGCAUAUAUCUGAGGUCACCUGAGAGCCACCAGCCUAGGCCAGAGCCAAGAGAUUGCUAUGGUUGUUUGCUUGACUGAUGAACUAAUUUAUGAAUUUAUUUAUCAUGCUACAAAGAGAAGUGAACUUUGAACUCAGCAAUGGAUGGGUGAUUAUUGACAGUUAAGGGAAUGGAAGCCCAAUUAGAGGAGGGAAUGGGAGGCAUAAAAUGCUUCCAGUAAAAUUAGAACAUAUCCAAGGAGUUUUGCAGUUAAAGGGAGUAGGAAAAUAUGAUAUUAAGUGUGAACGCAUAUCCAGGGAGGUGAGGGCAUUUCCUUUUAUUUCUAAAGUGGGGCAUACUCAAAGGUGUUUUCAUAUUGAUGAAAAAGGUCCAGACCAAUGUAUUGCUUGCAAAUAUAACUUUGCAACAAUUUAUGAGAAAUUUAUUUCAAAGUAUCUUCUUUAAUUCUGGGUAUUCACAUUAAAAUUUUAUUUAAUGAGUAAAAAAGGAUGUGCUAAAUAGCUUUACUUUACAAUUGUUUUAUUACCUAUGAAGUUGAAUAUAUUUGUGGGUUAGUUAUUUGUUUUCUCCAUUGCAAAUUGUCUGUACAAGUACUUUACAAUUGUAUAAUGGAGUCAGAGUGUUUUUAUUCCUGUUUUUGAUUGUAUUCUUUCAAUCAAGGAAUUGAAGUUUUUUUUCACCAACUUUGAUGUUUCUCAUUGAGUUCUUUUAUGCAUGUGUAGAUGUGUAUGUGGAGAAUUCUGAGUGUUUCUUAAUACUACGGGGUCAGAUCCAUCUCUAGUCAUAUUGAGUUCUCUCCAUUGCUUUUCUAUUUUUUAUUUUUCUUCCUGAAAGAAUUUAGCUCUUAUAUUCUUCACUUGCAAAUCCUUGCUAAAAACAAAAUUGAAAGUGACUGUUCUUCUGUAUACUUAGCGCUAAUAAAUCACUCUUUAUACAGAUUACCAAAUUGUUUUCACAUCUCUGUUAUUUCUUAUUGGUUCUUUUACCUUUUGUGAUUAGAUCUAUUUCAAAAAGUUGCAUCGUCUUCAAUAUUCAUCUAGAAGGCAUUCUUAUUUACACAUGACUAAAGAUCGCUCACCUUUACCUUCCAUAUUUGAAGCAUAUUUGAAUCUAUAUAUCUUUAUAUAGGAUAAAAUUAAAACUUAUAUACUGCCUCCUCCCAAUUUUAAAUACCCUUCUAUUGUAUUCUUUAUUUCCAAGUAUUUUGAAAUUUUAUCUGGAAUUAAUGACCUAUUUUGAUAUCACUAAGUUAAUAUUAUUUUGUGUCAUUAUAAAGUUUAGAUUGUCAUUCCAUUUUGUUUUAUAUAAUUGUUUUGAAAACAUUAUAUUUAACCUAAUUUUAUUCUUCCUGACAACCUUUAUUCCAUGUUUUACUUUCUUUUAAAACUUGUCUUCCCAUGUUAUGCACACACACAUGUUCAGACACUUGUAUACAAAUGUAUGAAUAGUAUUUUGUGCUCACUAUAAAUAUUGUUUAUGUUUUAGUGUAGUUUUCUUUUUGUCUAUGUCCACUCUUCUUUCAAUCCUAUAACACAGCAUAGAAUUACCUCCAAUCAUCUAGUACAAUGCUGACUUAUUAUUUCGAUGUCUGCAUAACAUUUCAUGGUGUGGUUAUGCUAUCCACAUUUUGAAAGCCUUACAUAUUCUUUCUCAAACAUUGCUAUUUUAAGAUAUAUAUAGAAAUAUUUUGAGAUUAUCUUAAAAAUCUGGUUCUACACCAGAGGCAAUAUUGUUAUUCCUGGGAACGUUGAGCAACGUCCAAAGACAAAUUUGGCUGUCACAAGGGGAGUUGUCAGUAGAGGCCAAGGACACUCUAAACGUCCUACAAUGCACAAGACAGAUCCCACCACAAAAAAAAAAUGAUCUGGUCCAGAAUGUCAACUGUUAUUUAAAAAGUUUUAACUUUUAUAUAGUUCAGCAUGUCUAUCUUCUUACUUCUGAUUUUUUUGUCUUAAUUAUGAUGGAUUUGCCAGCUUAAAUCUUUAUAUGUAGUUUUUUCUUUCACACAGUCACCUAGAAUGUACUCUUUCCCUUUACACUGAGGGCUUAAAUCCCUCUGAAUUUUGAAAGAUGUGUGACAUAUGAACCUGAUUAAUUUUCUUCCAGAUGGAUAGCCAUUUAUGCCAGGUUUCAUGAAAUAAUCAACCUUUACCCUCUAAACUGAAAUACACCUUGGCAUAUAUUAAAUGUCUAUAUGUACUGAGACCUAAUUUUUGAUUAAUUCAACCAAUAGUAACAGAGCAUCUGCUACAUGCCAGAGAGUUAUAGGUACAUUCGAUGUUAUAUUCUCUGAUGUCAAGGUGUUUGCUAAAUUAAUUAUCGAUCCAUGUUAAUAUUGCUCAAUUAUGGUAAUUUUAGUUUUGAUGCUCCAUUCAAUUCUGCAUAAUACAUUUGCAUGAAAACACUCUAUUUAAUUGGUUUCAUUAUCUCUGCCACACCUUUUUUUUGGGUGAGGAAGAUUGUCCCUGAGCUAACCUCUAUGCCAAUCUUCCUCUAUUUGAUGUGGGAUGUCACCACAGUGUGGCUUGAUGAGUGGUACUAGGUCCAUGCCCUGGAUCCUAACCUGUGAACCCUAGGCCUUUGAAUCAGAGUAUGCAAACUUAACCACUAUGCCACUGGGCCAGCCCCCUCUCUGCCAAUACUUUUAUUCAUGUCUCCACAUUUUCCUAAAUUUCUCACUAUAUAAGUGUACAUAUAUUCACAUACUAUUUUUUAAAAAAACUACAGUGAACAAUGAAAGUGAUGGCCCUGAUCCUUUGGAACUUACGUUAUAAAGGUGAAGUCACAGUACAGUAACAUAAAUGUGUAUAUGACAUAUGUACUCAAGCAUAAAACUUAUGAGGAAAGUUAAUCAGAGUCAUAGGAUGAACUGCCUUGGCAUGUGCAGAAUUUUAGAGAGUAUGGUCUGAAGAGGACCUAGCAUGCUAUACAAAGACCAGAAUCAGGACUAGACUGUGUCCAUUGCAUUUGUCAAAAAAUGACCAAAACCCGAAGCCUAGGAAAAACAAGAAAAGAUACCAAAUAAGAAAAGUAAAAGCGAAUUUCCUCACCUCCUAUAAGAUCAUAUAAGUUCCAAUUGGUCAAAUAAAUAUGGAAUAGUCACAGAAAAACAACUCUUCUGCUUCAUAUAUAGCAAACCCAAUUUCUGUUGUACUUUGUGUAUUUCUUUUGGUGAAGUGUUGGUUUAUUCCAUAGCAAUUUUUUUUCUUGGAGAGUUCAUAAUAAUGUCACUACUUUUGUCCUCUGGUAAAAUUUAUUUUUGCUCUCUUAGCAUUUUUGCUGAGCAUCAGGGAGAUAUAAUGAGUUGGAAUAUUGCAAGAACCAAGGAUGCUUUUUCUUCCUCAUGGUCUCUCAGGACCACCUGAACUAUUAGAUCUUUUUUCCCACUUACAUUCAUUUCAUCUCCCUCUCUUACCUCUCUCGCUUCUUCUGUUUAUUGAACGUAUUAUUUACUUUUUAAAAAAUAUUGAGCAGAAAAUGAGAAUACCAAUCUGUUCUCAAUUUUAUUUGUCCAUGGGAAGAUUACUAAUAAUAAUUUCAGAUACCAUUUCUACAUUCUUAGUAAAAUGAUAAUUUAUCUGGCCAUCUUGAGUUAUAUCAACUCCUAGCCUACUCCCUGAGACUGAAGGUGAUAAAGUCAUGGUGAGAACACAGUCCAGGAAGAAAUGGUCUGGUAUGUGCAUGUGUUUGUGUGUGCGUGUGUGUGUGUCUGUACCUUGUGGAAUGAGGAAAGUCCUCAGAGCAGGAGUACAUGGUCUCAUAUAUUCCAAGGUGAGCCUUACAAUGGAGAGGGCAGAAUUCAAUCAACAUAUGAUAUUAAGGAGAUCUAUUUCAAUUUAAAGGGUGUCUUUGCAACCAGAUUUAUAAAGUUUAAGGGGCACAUAGUUUGGAUGAGAAAAUUCCUUUGUCUUGAAGUUUAAUGAGCGGGGAGGCCACCUGCUCCUUUGAAAUCGUCUGACACCAUCUCUGAUCACUCUCUCUCUUGCAUAUUCCCCUUCUCACAUUGUCUUCCUUUUUUAGACUUGAACAGCUGAAAGUGGUAUAAUCUUUAUUACCUUUGCAAUGACUGUUCACUCUGCCAAGCAAACACUACCCUACAUAUAUUCCUGGUUCCUGCCCUCUCUUACAUGAGGUUUCUGUUCAAUGUCAUCUUGUUUACUGGUCUUCUCUGAACACCAAUUUAAAAAUAACACGUCUUAUCCACUCUUUCCUGUAUACCUCCUUUUGUUUUCUUCAUAGCACGUCACCAUCAGACAUAUUAUAUAACAUUUUUAUUUGCUUAUGUUAUUUCAUUGUCAUUGGAUUGUAGCAGCUUUUGUUUUUCAGUACUCUAUACUCAUCAUUCCCUAGACAGUGUCUGGGGCAUGGUCAACACUCAAUACAUAUUCAUCAAAUGCAUGAAAGAUAUCUUCAAUAAAACAGUAGAAUGCAUAACUUCUUUGGGAAAAUACUGAAAAUGGAACAAAAAUGCAUAAUCAGAAAUGAACAGGGAAUCUCUUAAAGACGACAGAUCCAUACACAAAAUAGUGAAAUUAAUUUCUUGACUGCAACAUAGAAAUUGUAGCUUUCCAAUUAUGUGAGUAAUGUCAUUUAUGUGAAAAGUAGUGCUAUCUUCUUUUCUUUCCUGGUAGUCAAUCCAACCACAUGAAACAAGACAAUAAUACAUGGAUUUCAGGGUUUCUUCUUCUGUGAUUUUCAGCGGAAUCAGACCUGCAGCUUCUCAUAUUUGGGUUUUUUUCUGUUCAUGUAUCUGAUCACUUUGUUUGGAAAUCUGCUCAUCAUCUUGGCCAUCUGCUCUGACACUGACCUCCACACACCCAUGUACUUCUUCCUCUCAAUCUUUCCCUUGUGGAUAUCUGUUUUACCUCCACUACCAUCCCAAAGAUGUGAAACAUUAGAUGCAGAACAAAGUUAUAACUUAUGCAGAUGGCGUCACCUAGAUUUUUUCCAUAAUUUUUCAUGGCCAGACAUCUAUCUCUUGGUUGUGAUGGACAUGUGCCACCCCUUGAACUACAUGGUCAACAUAAACUGUUAGCUUAGUGGACUUUUGCGUAUGAUGUCCUGGAUCAUGAGUGUCUCAAUUCCUUGUCAGAAACCUUAAUGGUAGUGCAAUCAUGCUUCUGUACAUAUAUGGAAAUACUCCACUUCUUUUGUGAACUUAACCAGAUGGUCCAACUUGCCUAUUCUGACACUUUUCUUUACAACGUGAUGAUGUAUUUUAUAUCCAUGCUGUUAGGUAGUGGUCCCUGCAUUGGUAUAUUUUAUUCUUACUGUAAGAUAGUUUCCUGCAUAUGUGGAAUCUCAUCUGCUGAAAGAAAGUAUAAAGCAUGUUGCAAUUGUGAAUCUCCUUUCACUUAUCUCCUUAUUUUUUAGCAUGAGCCUAAUAGUGUCCCUUAGCUCAGCUGCUACCCACAGUUUACACUUGAGUGCAGCAACUUCAGUGACGUACUCCAUGUUCACAUCCAUGCUGAAUCCUUUCAUCUAUAGUCUGGGGAACAAAGUCAUAAAGAGGGCUCUGAAAAUAUUCUUUGGAAUGGCAAGUAAAAAAGGGCCAAUUUUCAUAAGGCUGAAGAAGUGCCUAUGAUUGCAGGGCUCAAUGCCUUAGAGAUGGUAGUUAUGAUUCUUUCAUCAGAUUAUGGAAGUAGAACUUGGACCUUUUAUUUAUUUCUUGGAAUGUUCAUUUUGUCAACUUCUCUGUACAAUUUAGUUAUUCACUUUAUUAAUCUUUCCUCUCUUUUUGAUAUCCAACAGCUAUUUCCUUCAUUUUCUCCAUUUUUCCUAAUUUAUUUUUAUAAUUUAUUCCUAAACUUUGACAUGAAAAAAAUCAGAAAUUCCAAUUUAUCUAUAGAAAAGUUUGAUCAUUGUUUCUGUUAGCAAUUGCUGCAUAACUAGUAAACCUAUAAUAAAAUGGCUUAACAUAAUGUAUUUAUUAUCACAUAUGAUGGUAUGGUGGGGAGUUGUUCUGAUGUCUGUGGGCUCCUCAUAAGUAUAUUAUCAGCUAGGAGUCUCUACAUUGUGUUUCUAAGACUAACGCAUGAAUCUCUGCAUGGCUGUAAUUGUCUUCUGUCUUAAACCAAAUUAUGGUCAUUUUAUUAAUUAAUAUACACAGGUUUAUCUAAUUUAUAGAAAGAAAUAAAUUAUAAAAUGAAAAUUGCCUUAAUUUAAUUUCACUGCACCUAUAACCAUAUAUAACACCUUGCUUUCUUUCUAAUUAGAAGACAUAUCACCCACUCUUGCUCAGUGUGACUCUGUGACCUGUGUUCUAGAUUCUAUGCUGAGUCAUGCAUCUCCAGAUUUUUCCUUUCCACCAAGUUAUUUCAGAAUAACAACAUAAAAUAAACUGUGUAUAUUUAAAAUGUGCAGGCAAUAGAGCGAAGAGAGGCAUUUUCCUAGGGUUAUAUCAACAAGAUGACAGUAUAGGAAUUUCUAGCACCUGUCCCCUACCAAAAAUAUCAAAUUGAAUAGGUAUCUAUUCACCUAAAUACCUUCACAGGAUCUAAGGAUUCCAGAUAAGGAGUUAUAUUACUUUGGUAGAGUAAAACAAUAAAAAAUACACAUUUAAGAGAGUAGGAAGGAAAAUUUCACAUUACACAUGUCACCCUCACCCCAAGACCGAACAGUCCUCUGCAGAGAGAGACACUCUCUAUGUGGGGAAAGUGAAGUGAGCACCCAACUUCACCUCAAUGCUGAUACCAGUACCAGGCUAGCUCCUGUGAGCCUAGAAUCCAAGCAGGUCAUGCACACUUAAGCUCUCAGCCUGCUCCAGCAUCAGGUCAGAAAUCAUGGCCUCAGGCUACAGGCAGGAUCCCACAAACAUAGGCUCCUGGAGCACCCAAACAACAGGCUGGACUCUGAUACUCAACUUACAAGACUUGGCCCAGCAAUAUGUGUCACCAUCCUCCAGGACAACACUCAUAAACUAAAGAACCCAGCCCUCCCCAGGACUAGAUAACCUCCAUGGACUGAAAUGUCAAGUCCAUUCCAGGGUUCUUUGGCAUCUGUUUGCCACUCUGGACCCAGGAUCCAGGCCUGACCACACAGAAGAAGGUCUCAUGCCCAUUUUUGCAGUCUCAAGAGUUAAUACUCUCCCAGUGCUUCCAGGCUCCAGCUGCCACCCCUUAUGUUGUCAGAUGCCAGACUGGACUCCAGGGACCUCAGCACCAAGCCUGCCACCUGCUGAUACAGGCAUGAAGCCUGUACACUAAAUGACUACAGAAGAACCUCAUCUGCACAUAACACCAGAUAGCCCACCCAGAAACUCUGACAGGCUGACUACUGAAGGUCUUUGCCUGCCAAAAGUAGUCUACAAAGACUAGAAGAGGUAAUUUCUUCCUCAAAUGCACAGACAUCAAUGCAAGGCCACAGGAUCAUGAGUAUUCAAGAGACUAUGAAACAAUCAAAGGAAACUAAAAAAGCUCAAAUGACUAACCCAAAAGAAAUACAGAUAUAUAAAUAACCUACAAUUACACUUUAAAGAAUUGGAAGCAGAUGACAAUUAAGCCCAAAUUUAUCAGAAAUAAGGAAAUAACAAAGAUAAGAACAGAAAUAAAUAUAAUAGAGAGCAGAAAAACAAACAAAAAAGCAACAACACUAAGAGCUGUCUUUUUGAAAAGAUGAACAAAGUUGACAAACCUUUAGCUAGACUAACAAAUAAAAAAUAGAGAUGACUGAAAUACAUAAAAUCAGAAAUAAAAGAGGAGACAUUACAGCUGAUAUAAAAAAAUACAAAGGAUCAAAAAGGCUACUAUGAACAAUUAUACAAAAACAAAUUGGACAGCCUAGAAGAAAUAAAUAAAUUUCAAGAAAAGUACAACCUACCAAGACUGUGUCAUAAAGAUGUAGAAAAUCUGAACCAAAAAAUAAAGAUUGAGGAGGACAAAUGAGUAAAACAAAAUCUCAAGAAAGAAAACCCAAGGACCAAAUGAUUUCACUGGUGAAUUCUACUAGACUUUUAAAGAAGAAUUAAUGUCAAUCCUUCCCAAACUCUGCCAAAUAAUUUAAGAGAAGGGAACACUCCAAAAUUCAAUUUAUAAGGCCAGCGUUGCCCUGAUACCAAAGCCAGAUAAGGAUGCUACAAGUAAAGAAAAGUAGGGCUGGCCCAGUGGCACAGCGGUUAAGUGCACACUUUCUGCUUCAGCUGCCAGGGGUUUGCCAGUUCGGAUUCUGGGUGCAAACAUGUCACUGCUUGGAAAGCCAUGCUAUGGCAGGCAUCCCACAUAUAGGGUAGAGGAACAUGGGCAUGGAUGUUAGCUCAGGGCCAGUCUUCCUCAGCAAAAAGAGGAGGAUCAGCAGCAGUUAGCUCAGGGCUAAUCUUCCUCAAAAAACAGAGAAAAGAAAUGAAAAGAAACCUACAUGACACUAGCCCCAAUUAGCAUAGAUGCAAAAAUUAUCAAUAAAAUACUACUAAGCCAAAAUUAACAGCACAAUGAAAGUAUCACAUAUCAUGACUAGUGGUAUUUAUUUCUAGAAUGGAAGGAUUUUUCCCUAUAAGCAAAAAGAAAAAGAGAGAGAGACACAUCAUGUUGAAAAAAUUAAAGGUAAAAAAACAUUUCAAUCGAUGCAGAAAAUGAUUUUAAGAAAUCCAAAAUCCUGUAUCCCUACAUGAUACAAAUGCUGAAAGAAUUUGGUAUAGAAGGGUGAUACCUCAAGAUAAUAAAGACCAUAUAUGACAAUUCACAGAUAACAUCAUACUCAACAGUGAAAGGUUUGAAGCUUUCUCUCUAUGAUCAGGAGCAAGAUAAAGCUGCCACUCUCAGCACUCCUGUUCAACAUAGUUCUAGAAGUCCUAUUCAGAGAAAUUGGACAAGAAAAGAAAGAAAAGGCAUCCAAAAUGGAAAGAGGUAGAAUGGUCUCUGUUUCAAGGUAAUGGUAUCUUAAAUAUAGAUUCUCUAAAGACUGCACCAAAAACUGUUAGAAAUAAUAAACAAAUUCAGUUAAGUUUCAGGAUACAAAGUGAAUUUAGAAAAAUCAGUUACAUUUCCAUACAUGAGCAAUGAACCAUAUUUCUGUAAAAAUAGAGAAAAUACCCCAUUUACAAUAGUACCACAAACAAUAAAAUACUUAAUAAAUUUAACCAAGGAAGUGAAAGAUUUAUAAAAAAACCAACAACUAUAAGAUAUUAAUGAAAGAAAUUGAAGGAUACACAUGUAAUGGAAAUGGACUUGGAAACAUAUUCCAUGUUCAUGUAUUGGAAGAUUUAAUAUUGUUUGAAUGCCCAUACUUAUUAAAGUAAUCUAUAGAUUCUAUGCAAUCCAUAUCAAAAUUCCAAUGCCAUUUUCACAGAAAUAUAAAGAACAAUCCUAAAAUUUGUAUGAAAUCACAAAAGAACCCAAAUAGCCUAUGGAACCUGAGAAAGAAGAGCAAAGCUGGAGAGGAGACAUCAGGCUUCCUGAUUUCAAAUUUUCUUACAGAGCUAUGGUAGUUAAGACAAUAUAGUACUGUCAUUCAAGGAGCCAUAUAGAUGAGUGGAACAGAUUCAUGAGCCCUGAAAUAAACCUAUGCAUACAAGCACAGCUAAUAUUUAACAGCAGAGUCCAGAAUAAUCAAUUAGGAAAGGAUAUUCUCUUCAAUAAAUGGUUCUUGGAAAAUAAUAACCACAUAUAAAAGUAUAAAAUUGGACCUCUAUCUUACACCACUCACAAAAAUUAGCUCAAAAUAGAUUAAAGGCUUAAACAUAAGAUGUGAAAUCACAAAACUCUUAGAACAAAAUAUAGGGAAAAAUCUCCUAGACCUUGGUCCUGGCAAUGAUUUUUUAAACAUGACAGCAAAAGAAAAAGCAACAGAAGUAAAAUAAACAAGUGGAAUGACAUCAAACUAAAAAGCACCGCAUAGCAAAAGAAACCAUUAACAGAAUGAAUAGGUGACAUUUGGAUUGAGAGAAAACAUUUUCAAACUCUGUAGCUGAUAAAGGGUUAAUAUCCAAAAUAUAUAAGGAACUCAGUCAACUCUAUAGCAAAAUACAAAUGAUCCAAUUAGAACAUGGGCAGUUAUUUUUCUAAAAAGAUGUACAAAUUGUCACCAAUUACCUGUAAAAAUGCUCAACAUUGCUAACCAUCAGGGAAAUCAAAACCGGAACCAUGUAAGUUAUCACCUCACAUUUGUUAGAAUGAGUGCUAUAAAAAAGACAAGAGUUAACUUGUGUUAGUGAGGAUGUGGAGAAAAGGGAACCUCUGUGCUCUGUUGGUGGUAAUGUAAAUUAAUACAGCCAUUAUGUCAAACAGUGUGAGGUUUCUCAAUUAAAAAUAAAACAACCUUAUGAUCCUGCAAUCCCCUUCUCUGUAUUUAUCCAAAGGAUAGGAAUCACUAUCUUGAAGAGAGGGCUGUACCCCCGUCUUUCUUGCAGCAUUAUUCACAAUAUCCAAAGCAUGGAAACAACCUAAGUGUUCACCUUUGUAUGAAUGGACAAGGGAUAUGUAUAGACAGUGGAAUACUAUUCAGCCACAAAAAGAAGAAAAUUCUGUCACUUGCAACAACAUAGAGGACAUUGCGGGCAUUAUGCUAAGUGAAAAAGUCAGAUGGUGAAAGACAAACAUUGUAUGAUCCCACAUAUAUGUGGAAUCUAAAAGGCCAAACAAAUAAAAAUACAAAGCACGAUAGUGGUUGCAAGAGGCUGAGAGAUGGGGAAAACAAAGAGACAUUGGUCAGCGGAUACAAUCUUCCAGUUAUACGAUGAAUAACUUUUGAGGAUCUAAUGUACAGCAUGAUUACUCUAAUGAACAAUACUGUAUUUCCGGGAGAGUAGCUAAGAGACUGCAUCUUAAAUGUUCUCACUACUGGGGAAAAGAAGUGCAAUUAUGGGAGUUCUUAGAGGUACUAACUCACCUUAUUGUGGCAAUCAUUUUGCAAUACAGACACACAUCAAAUCAUUACACUGUACGUCUUAUAGAAUGCUAUAUGUCAAUUCUAUCUUGCUAAAGCUGGAGAAACAUAAAAUGUAUAAUUUGUAGAAUUGAAGGAGCCACACAAAAAUUGAGAGUAUAUGCUACCAAUUUUGUUUAUAUAUAUUCAAGAGUGUGAAAAAUAGGUUUUCAAUAUUUUGUUAUAUGAUUAUAAAAAUUUCAAAAUCACUAAAUCUCAGUUUAUUUCUGAAUGUAACAUGAGAUAAACAACAUCAUGUGGGUGUUUAAAAGAAUCAAUGAAAUAUUUGGAAAUACUAUGUUGAGUUCACAGAAAAUGUUCAAGGUGUGUCUGUGUGUAUAGGUGUGUGUGUUUAUAUACAUUCUCGUUCAAAUAACCACACUCCCACACUUAUAUGUACAUACUCAGAUGCAUUUAUAAUCGGAUAUUUUAGGUUUACUGGAAACUUGAAAGGAAGUUAGAGAGUACAGAAAUGAAAAGAGGUUUUAAAUUAACAUGACAUUAAAAAUGUAGAAAUGUAAAAACAAGAUUUAAAGUAAAAUGGGGGGCCAGCUGAGUGGUGCAGUGGUUAAGUUUGCAUAUUCUGCUUCUCGGUGGCCCAGGGUUCACCAGUUUGGAUCCCGGGUGUGAACAUGGCACAGCUUGGCAAAAGCCAUGCUGUGGUAGGCAUCCCAUGUAUAAAGUAGAGGAAGGUGGGCAUGGAUGUUAUCUCAGGGCCAGUCUUCCUCAGCAAAAAUAGGAGGACUGGCGGUAGUUAGCUCAGGGCUAAUCUUCCUCAAAAAAAAAAAAAAGUAAAAUGGGUGACCUUAAGUAUAAUACUGAGUUACAUUUUCUACCUUGUGCCUCAAAGGCCUCAAAGUCAGAACCACAUUUACAUUUCUACAAUGAGAAAUUAUCUGUAUCAGCUAAUGGGGCUAAAUAUCUCCAAAAUGACUUUAUAUUUCUACUUCUACAUAAGAUGGGAUACCAUCACAAAAUGACUUUACCCAAGGAAAGCUAAAUAAAUGUAUUAUUAGGUUUGUUUUUUUUUUUUAAAGAUUGGUGCCUGAGCUAACAUCUGUUGCCAAUCUUCUUUCAUUUUUCUCCUCUUCUCCUCAAAGCCCCCCAGCACGUAGUUGUAUAUUCUAGUUGCAGAUCCUUAUGAUUGUGUUAUGUGGGAUGCCACCUCAGCAUGGCCAAAUGUGCAAUGCCAUAUCUGAGCCCAGGAUCCUAACUGGUGAGAGCCUGGGCCACUGAAGCUGAGCACACAAACUGAACCACUGGGCCAUAGGGCCAGCCCCUAUAUUAUUAGGUUUAAAUUCCAUUUCCUCCAACAAAAUUUUAUUAUGCAAAUAUCUGUAUCAGAUUCUCAUUGCUGCUACAACAAAUUACCCCACUAAUCAAUUAAAACUAUGAAAAAUUAUGAUCUUAUAGUUCUGGAUGUCAGAAGCCUGAAGUGUGUCUUAUUGGGUAAAACAAUGAGGUCUGCAUGCUCGGGUUCCUUCUGGAGGCUCCAAAUGAGAAUCUGAUUGGUUUACUGUUCCAGUCUCGGGGGCCACCUGCAUUCCAUGGCUCAUGGCUCUUCCCCUAACUUUACAGCAGCAGCUAAACAUUUUCAGAUCUCUCUCUCACUCCAACUCAGAAUGCCCAUUUCUUCCAGAUUUAGAAAACCAUGUGACUAAAUUAUUCUCACUUGGAUAAUCAUGGUCAAUCUUAUUAAGCUCAGUUUACUGGGAACCUCAUUCCACUUGAAACUUUUAACACUGUUGUUAUACAAAAUGACAUAUUCAAAGGUUCUUGCGGUUAGGAUGUGAACAUUAUUUGGAGGUCUUUAUUCUGCCUCCUACAAAGUAAUUUUCAGAAGUAUACUAUUUAGUGUCACUUAAGGCCCCUUAGAUGAAGAAACAAACAAAAUUUCUCACAGACUCAGGAGUGAGAGGUCACACUUUGUUUUUACCCAAAAUUAUAUGCAGAAAUGAUUUUGGGUGGAAAAAUGUUAAAAAUACUUACACUUGAGUCUAAUACAGGAGCACAGACUUUGUACUCAAAAAGUAGUCCACAGAUUAGGACCUGUGCAUCAAUAUCACCAGGGAUCUUGUUAGAAAUGUGGAGUCUCUGGGACCAGAAGAGACCUGCUGAAUCACAAUCUGCAUUGGAGCUAGAAUCCCUGAUGAGUCACUUGAAGUUGGAGAAGUGCUGGUCCUCAAUAGUGUUUUCUCAUCUUCUUAUUACUGACAUUUGGGGCUAGACAAUUAUUUGUGUUGUGUGUUGUUCUGUGCAUUUUAUGUCAUUAGCAGCAUUCUUUCAGACAUCACCAAGUGUACCAGGAAAACAAACCCUCUGAUUGAGAACUACUGGCCCACUAUUUCAGAACUUAAAGCAUUUUGAGAGAAUUCCAAUCAAGAUCCCAUGCCAUACUUAAUUUGUAACUUUGGACAGAUCACUAAGCCCCUUGCAGCCCUAUUUCUGCAAGGUAGAAUGGAGUUCAUAAAUAAAUUACAUCAUAGAAUGGACUCUAGUAAAAAUUAAAUCAGGUAAUCUCUAUACUUUGCUAAGUUCGAGACAUUUGGUAUAAAAAGAUCCACAUAGAUCUCUUGUAAUUAACAGAUAUUCCACAAUGAUUGAUGAAAUUAUAGCUCUGAACUUGUCAUACAAGUAUGAAAUUCCCCAUUGCUUUGAAAAUGUGUCAUGGUGACAAGAAAUUUAGUGCCCAAGAUUUUAAAUCAAUGGAACACAGUUUUCCCUCACGUUGAAUAUCUGAAAAGCAAUUUUCUGGAGAUGUCAGGGGCUGUAUACCCAUCAAAAGCCAAUGCUUUGAAGAUACAAGAGACCUAAUUCACAGGAUACUCUGUCUUAGCCAUUGAACAAAACUAAAGCUGAGAUAUGUGAUAAGAUACUAGGAGGUAGAUGUUUGGAAGCCAGGAAAGUUAAGGAGGAGUAAGAAAAACUAGAUUUUACUGACCUCUAACCUGGUCUCCAAGGAACAGAGGAUUAGUGGGAAAAAUUUCCUUUCUGACCACAUCAGUGUUCCAAAGGGGAAUUAUGUUCUUGGAGGUUUGAGUAACAAGAGGGACAUAUACUUAAGGAGAAGAUACAGGGAGCUGUAAAUAUCUCUUCUGUUGCAGUCCCUCAUCAUUGCAACAUUGGACUAAACUUCAGUAAUGGUUGUUUUUAGAGCCCUAGGUCUGGUUUAUGACCAGUGUUUCACUCCUUCCUGCUGUCUCGUCUGGAGAUAGAGCUUCAAUUGAGCAUCAAUCUUCCAAGAAGGAGUUCAUAUUUCUACUCAGAGAUCCUCCUCUCACAGACCCCAUCUAGAUGAGUGAGUGAGCCCUGGAGACACUGUAGGAAAGGGUCAGAGAGAAUGAAAGCCAAGAAUAUUUACAUGAGCUCACCUGAGGGCCAGUCUUGUCAAGCCCAGAGGACAGAGAUCAUUGUUUUUGUUUGCUUUCUUGAUUAAUUCAUUAAUGUAGACACUUAUGAUGCCAAGAUAGAAAGCGAAUGUUGAAUUCAGCAACACAGAGAUUGAUGUUGAUAAUUAAUUAUAUUAAUGGAAGCUCAAUUAGAAAAGUGAAUAGGAGGUGUAAAGUCCUUCCAGUAAAAGUAGAACAUAAGUCCAAGGAUCUUUGCAACUAACAGCACAGGAUAAAUAGUGUUGUCACUGAGGAGGGAUACACAUUGAAGUGAGGGCAUUUUUUUUAAGAUUCGGCAUAUUUGACUAUUUUUACCUAUAGAUGAGAAGGCUACAGAACAAGGGAUGCUUGAAAAUAUUAUCUUUUAUCAGCACUUCAUGAGGCAUAGCUAUCAUGGUGUCUUCUCACUGUGAGUAUUCACAUGAUGAAAAAGUAUAUAAUAUGUGAAAAGGGAUACACUAACAAGCUUUACUUUUGGGUUAUUUCAUUACCUGUGAGGCAUAAUGUGUUUGUGGUUUGUUAGCCAUAUACGUUAUCUAUUGUAAAUUGUCUGUGGGAAUCCUUUACUUUUGUAUAGUGAGGUCACAAUGAUUUUGUUCCUUUUUUUUUUUUUUUUUGCAUUUACUCAAAAAAGAAUAGGAGGUUUUUGUUUUCACCAACUGGCUGUUUUCCUUUUGGUUCAUUUACACAUGUAUAGAUCUGUUAGGAGAAUGUGUGGAAGUUUAUCAAUUUUGUGUGCUCAGUCCGUCAUAUUGUGUGCCUUAUUUGCUUUCUUUUAACUGAGAGAAUUUAGCUGUUGCUUUAAUAUUCUUCACUCGUGAAUUCUUGCUUCAAACAAAAAUAAAAGUGAAGGUUCUUCUCAUACUUUGUGCUAAUAAAUCACUCCUUAUACCUAUUUGCAACUUGAUUUCACAUCUCUGUUAAUCCUUACUCAUUCUUUUGGUGUCCGUGAUUAAAUAUACUGCUAAAAGUUGCAUCACCUUUAUCCAUCACCAGAAAACACUCUUCUUUACAUUUGAUUAAAAAUUAUCUGUAUCUUCAUAAGCAUAUUCAAACCUGUAUAUCUUUAUACAAGAUGAAAUUAUAACUUUAAAUAUUACUUCCUCUCUGCAUUUUAAAAGCAUUUUUGUUUUCCAUCCAUUACCAUACACAUGUGCCUCCUACCCUUUUUACCCUCCCCUUACCCCUUGUCAUCUGGUAACCACCAAUAUUUUCUCCUUAACUGUGUGUUUAUCUUCCACAUAUGAGUAAAAUCAUAUGGUAUUUGUCUUUUUCUGACAUAUUUUGCUUAGUGUAAUAGCCUAAAGGUCCAGCCGUGUCAUCACAAAUGGCACACUUUUGUUUUUUUAUGGCUAAGUAGUACUCCAUUAUGUCUAUAUGUAUACCACAUCUUCUUUAUUCAUUCCUCCAUUGGUGGGCACCUGGGUUGCUUCUAACUCUUGGCUAUUGUGAAUGAUGCUGCACUGAACAACAGGGUACAUAUAUCUUUUAAGAUCAAUGUUUUCAUGUUCUUUGGAUGAAUACCCAGAAGUGGAAUAGCUGGAUCAUAUGGUGUUUCUAUUUUCAAUUUUUUGAGAAAUCUCCAUAAUGUUUUCCAUGGUGGCUGCACCAGUUUGCAUUCCCACCAGCAGUGUAGGAGUGUUCUCUUUUUUCCACAUCCUCUCCAACACUUGUUAUUUCUUGCCUUUUUAAUUACACCCUUUUUGACUAGUGUGAGGUGCUAAGACAUAGCAUUUCCCUAAUAAAUAGUAAGGUCAAACAUCUUUUCAUGUGUCACUUAGCCACCUGUAUAUCUUCUUUGGAAACAUGUCUAUUGCUAUCCUCUGCACAUUUUUUAUUGUGUUGCCUAAUUUUUGUUGUUGAGUUGUAGGAAUUCUUUAUAUAUUUUGGAAAUUAACCCUUUAUUAGAUAUAUGAUUUGCAAAUAAUUUCUUCUAUUUGAUAGGUUGUCCUUUAAAUUUGUUGAUCUCUUCUUUUGCCAUGCAGAAGCAGUGCAUCUUGAUGUAGUCCCAUUUGUUCAUUUUUCUUUUAUUUAUUUUGCCUGAGGAGACAUGGUGUUGAAAAAAAUAAUGCCAAAACCUAUGCCAAAGAUUGUACUGCCUAUCUUUUCUUCUAGGAGUUUUAUUAUUUCACUACUGGCAUUUAAACCUUUAAACCAUUUUGAGUGAAUUUUUGUGUAUGGUGUAAUAUAAUGUCUACUUUCAUUCAUUUGGAUGUGUCUGUACAGUUUUCCCAACACCAUUCAUUAAAGAGACUUUCCCUUCUCCACUGUAUCUUCUUGGGUCCUCUGUUGAAGAUUAGCUGUCCAUAGAUGUCUGGUUUUAUUUCUGGGUUCCUGAUUCUGUUCUGUUGAUCUGUGUGUCUGUAUUUGUGCCAGGACCAUGCAUGUUGACUAGAAUAGCUUUGUAGUAUAUUUUGAAAUCAGGGAAUGUGAUACUCCAACCUGUGUUCUUUUCUCUCAGGAUUGCUUUGGCUAUUCAAGGUCUUUUGUUGUUCCAUAUAAAUUGUAGGAUCCUUUGUUCCAUUUUUGUGAAAAAAAAUUUCAUUCUGAUUCUGAUUGGAAUCACAUUGAAUCUUCAGAUUGCUUUAGAUAAUGUGGCCAUUUUAAUUAUGUUUAUUCUUUCAGUCCAUGAGCAUGGAAUAUCUUUCUAUUUCUCUAUGACUCCUUCAAUGUGUUUCAAUAAUGCCUUAUAGUUUUAAAUGUAUAGAUCUUUCAUCUCCUUGGUUAAAUUUAUUCCUAAGCAGUUUUUUCUAUUUGUUGUAAUUUUAAAUAGGAUUGUAUUCUUGAUUUAUCUUUGUGCUAGUUUGUUGUUAGUGUAUAAUAAGGUGAUUGAUUUUUGUAUAUUGACUCUGUACCCUGAAACUUUACUGUGUUUGUUAAUUAUUUCUAAAAGUCUUUUGGUGAAUAUUUGGAGUUUUCUAUAUAUAGAAUCAUGUCAUCUGCAAAUAGUGACAGGUUCAAUCCCUCCUUUCCAAUUUGGAUGCCUUAUAUUUCUUUUUCUUGCCUAGUUGAUCUGGCUAAGGACUUCUAAUAUUAUGUUGAAUAAGAGUGGUGAGAGUGGGCAUGCUUGUCUUCUUCCUGUUCUUAGAGGAAUAGCUUUCAGUUUUUCACCAUUGAGUAUGAUAUUGGCUCUGGGUUUGUCAUAUAGGGCCUUUAUUAUGUUGAGAUAUUUUCCUUCUAUACCUGUUUAAUUGAGAGGUUUUUAUCAUAAAUGGGUGUUGGAUCUUGUUGAAUGCUUUCUCUGCAUCUAUUGAGAUGAUCAUGUGGUUUUUGUUUUUCAUUUUGUUGAUGUAGUGUAUCACGCUGAUUGACUUGCGGAUGUUGAACCAUCCCUGUGUCCCUGGUAUAAAUCCCACUUGAUCAUGGUGUAUAAUCUUUUUGAUGUAUUGCUGUAUUCGGUUUGCCAAAAUUUUGUUGA